GCAUUCGUGGCCGAGUGGUUAAGGCGCCAGACUCAAGUUCUGGUGUGGCGACACGCGUGGGUUCGAAUCCCACCGGAUGCA
rnacentral:tRNA from 1 species